UACGAAGGGGGCUAGCGUUGUUCGGAAUCACUGGGCGUAAAGGGCGCGUAGGCGGCCGAUCAAGUCGGGGGUGAAAGCCUGUGGCUCAACCACAGAAUUGCCUUCGAUACUGUUUGGCUUGAGACCGGAAGAGGUUAGUGGAACUGCGAGUGUAGAGGUGAAAUUCGUAGAUAUUCGCAAAGAACACCAGUGGCGAAGGCGGCUGACUGGUCCGGUUCUGACGCUGAGGCGCGAAAGCGUGGGGAGCAAACAGG
rnacentral:rRNA from 1 species